rnacentral:rRNA from 1 species
AUUGAACGCUGGCGGCAGGCCUAACACAUGCAAGUCGAGCGAGCGGCGGACGGGUGAGUAAUGUCUGGGAAACUGCCUGCUGGAGGGUGAUAACUACUGGAAACGGUCGCUAAUACCGCAUACCAUCAGAUGUGCCCAGAUGGGCUUAGCUAGUAGGUGGGGUAAUGGCUCACCAAGGCGACGAUCCCUAGCUGGUCUGAGAGGAUGACCAGCCACACUGGAACGGGGACACGGGCCAGACUACUAGGGUAGGCAGCAGUGGGGAAUAUUGCACGAUGGGCGCAAGCCGGAUGGAGCCAGGCCGCGUGUGUGAAGAAGGCCUUCGGGUUGUAAAGCACGUUCAGCGGGGAGGGGUUGGCCGCAGAAGAAGCACCGGCUAACUCCGUGCAAGGAGCCGCGGUAAUUC